ACGGCCUCAUCAUAUUGAAACACCGGUUCCCGUACGAUCACUGAAGUUAAGCAACUUUGAGCCUGGUCAGUACCAGAUAGGUGACUUCUUGGGAAUACAAAGUGCAGUA